AGCUAUUUAGCUAUACCCCAAGUAAAUGUUUUGAAAGCAUUUGAAAAUAUAUUUAAUAGCUA
rnacentral:tRNA from 1 species